AGGGAAUUUUCCACAAUGGGCGAAAGCCUGAUGGAGCAACGCCGCGUGAACGAUGAAGGUCUUCGGAUUGUAAAGUUCUGUUGUCAGGGACGAAUAAGUACCGUUCGAACAGGGCGGUACCUUGACGGUACCUGACGAGAAAGCCCCGGCUAACUACGUGCCAGCAGCCGCGGUAAUACGUAGGGGGCAAGCGUUGUCCGGAAUUAUUGGGCGUAAAGCGCGCGCAGGCGGUCGGGUAAGUCUGAUGGUAAAGCCCGGGGCUCAACCCCGGUUCGCAUUGGAAACUGCUCGACUUGAGUGCAGAAGAGGAAAGCGGAAUUCCACGUGUAGCGGUGAAAUGCGUAGAGAUGUGGAGGAACACCAGUGGCGAAGGCGGCUUUCUGGUCUGUAACUGACGCUGAGGCGCGAAAGCGUGGGGAGCAAAC
rnacentral:rRNA from 1 species